rnacentral:lncRNA from 10 species
GAAAACAUGUGCUUGAUUUACUAAACUAAGCCCAGGGAAGGUUUUAACAAUUGAUAGUGGUAAGUAAGUACCCUUGCCCCUUACUAAUUGCAUACUUUCCCUACUUGUUUGAAAAGCAGUUUGAAUUAUCUAAAGCCCUUUUGUGAAUUCCCAAAACUGGGCAUGGUGUUUGGUUAUUUGUGGCUGAUAAUGUGACGAGUUAAAAAGGUUUGCCUAGAGCGUCUGUGGGGUUUCUUUCAAUAUGACAUGUAGAAGAAUGUAGCAUUUAGAUGUGAGAAAUUACUCAAAACAGACUCCAUUUCAUAACUAAAAUGCUUGUGGUGCCCUGGGUUGCACACACACACACACACACACACACACAGGUUUUGAAAGAAGAGUGGGAAGGAAGAAGAAAGUUAAGAAUAGCCUUUAAGAAGGCAUGGGUGACUCCGGACAGGAAGUGCUGCUGUUGUGAUGCCCCUGGAAAUGCUGUCCUGCCAACACUGAGGGUCUUUUGGGCCAGUGGGUCUCAUGGGGUCCUCUGCCUGGCAGGGGGAAGGUGGGCAAAGGCUGGUGCCCAGGUCUAUGCAGGUUACUGUGCUAGCCAGCCUUUGUUUUGGGGACAGGGGCAGCGCCAGCCCCACCCAGGAGCAGGAUCCAACCUUCUGUUUCUUUCCCCCGUGCAGGCUUCUCCCUGCCCAUUCUCUUCUCAGCAGAGCACUUGCAUGGACCCUGGCUUCAGCCUCCAUUCACCCUUCAAUCUUGUAAAUGACAACGAAGAGAGAAGAGGCACAGUGGAUUGAAGCGGGGCUGUCAGUCACGUGGUGUUUGAGGACUCCCAUUGUAAAUCAGGGAUUCUUGCAGCCUGCUUUUUCAGGUAAAAAACAUUCCUUUGAAUUUUGCUUCAUGUUUAAAACAGAAAUCAUGUUGUUCGCUUCUGAUU